UACAGAGGUCCCAAGCGUUGUUCGGAUUCACUGGGCGUAAAGGGUGCGUAGGCGGUUGGGUAGGUCUGUCGUGAAAUCUCCGAGCCUAACUCGGAAACUGCGUCGGAUACUAUUCAACUCGAGGAAUGGAGGGGAGACUGGAAUUCUCGGUGUAGCAGUGAAAUGCGUAGAUAUCGAGAGGAACACCAGUGGCGAAGGCGAGUCUCUGGACAUUUCCUGACGCUGAGGCACGAAAGCCAGGGGAGCAAACGGG
rnacentral:rRNA from 1 species